CUGCCCCCCGUAUUAGUGUAAUUUACUUAAGCCACACCAGAACCAGUAAAUAUAUAACAAUUAACAAUAAAAUUUAACCAAAAUUUCUUUCCUAUUAAUUUUGUUGAUUUUACACAAAAUCCUCAUUUGAUAAUUUGGCAGCGAAACGAACUUAGAAUGAAACCAGCUCAAGAAACCCUAGCCACACUGUUCUCAACCUCUUCGCCAAU
rnacentral:misc_RNA from 1 species